AUAUUAGAUAUGUUAUCAAGGUCAAAUAGAGCUAUAUUUUAGAUAGACCGGUCAUCUUCAAACACUUGAGAGAUCUACAGAAUAUGGCAUUUAAGAUGUUUUAAUAACAUAGGUUCUAUUUUUAUGACAAUGAAACAUGUCUUAAAUCCUGGCA